GUCUUCGUGGUUAACGGUAGCACACUCGGCUCGUAAUCGAGAGAUCCAGGUUCGAAUCCCGUCGAAGGCA
rnacentral:tRNA from 1 species